AUUCUGUGAUGAGGGCACUUCCGUAAUAAUUCUUUGUACAUUUCCCAUGCCUCAUACAAGGCCUCAUCAUCCAUUUGUUGGAAAACAGUGAUAUCAUUACUCAACUU
rnacentral:snoRNA from 1 species